rnacentral:rRNA from 1 species
UUCGGGGUACUCGAGUGGCGAACGGGUGAGUAACACGUGGGUGAUCUGCCCUGCACUUUGGGAUAAGCCUGGGAAACUGGGUCUAAUACCGAAUAGGACCACGCGCUUCAUGGUGUGUGGUGGAAAGCUUUUGCGGUGUGGGAUGGGCCCGCGGCCUAUCAGCUUGUUGGUGGGGUAAUGGCCUACCAAGGCGACGACGGGUAGCCGGCCUGAGAGGGUGACCGGCCACACUGGGACUGAGAUACGGCCCAGACUCCUACGGGAGGCAGCAGUGGGGAAUAUUGCACAAUGGGCGCAAGCCUGAUGCACGACGCCGCGUGAGGGAUGACGGCCUUCGGGUUGUAAACCUCUUUCAAUAGGGACGAAGCGCAAGUGACGGUACCUAUAGAAGAAGCACCGGCCAACUACGUGCCAGCAGCCGCGGUAAUACGUAGGGUGCGAGCGUUGUCCGGAAUUACUGGGCGUAAAGAGCUCGUAGGUGGUUUGUCGCGUUGUUCGUGAAAACUCACAGCUUAACUGUGGGCGUGCGGGCGAUACGGGCAGACUAGAGUACUGCAGGGGAGACUGGAAUUCCUGGUGUAGCGGUGGAAUGCGCAGAUAUCAGGAGGAACACCGGUGGCGAAGGCGGGUCUCUGGGCAGUAACUGACGCUGAGGAGCGAAAGCGUGGGGAGCGAACAGGAUUAGAUACCCUGGUAGUCCACGCCGUAAACGGUGGGUACUAGGUGUGGGUUCCUUCCUUGGGAUCCGUGCCGUAGCUAACGCAUUAAGUACCCCGCCUGGGGAGUACGGCCGCAAGGCUAAAACUCAAAGGAAUUGACGGGGGCCCCACAAGCGGCGGAGCAUGUGGAUUAAUUCGAUGCAACGCGAAGAACCUUACCUGGGUUUGACAUGCACAGGACGCCGGCAGAGAUGUCGGUUCCCUUGUGGCCUGUGUGCAGGUGGUGCAUGGCUGUCGUCAGCUCGUGUCGUGAGAUGUUGGGUUAAGUCCCGCAACGAGCGCAACCCUUGUCCUAUGUUGCCAGCGGGUUAUGCCGGGGACUCGUAGGAGACUGCCGGGGUCAACUCGGAGGAAGGUGGGGAUGACGUCAAGUCAUCAUGCCCCUUAUGUCCAGGGCUUCACACAUGCUACAAUGGCCGGUACAAAGGGCUGCGAUGCCGUGAGGUGGAGCGAAUCCUUUCAAAGCCGGUCUCAGUUCGGAUCGGGGUCUGCAACUCGACCCCGUGAAGUCGGAGUCGCUAGUAAUCGCAGAUCAGCAACGCUGCGGUGAAUACGUUCCCGGGCCUUGUACACACCGCCCGUCACGUCAUGAAAGUCGGUAACACCCGAAGCC